rnacentral:tRNA from 1 species
UCCGGCGUCGUCUAAGGGCAGGACAGCGGACUUUGGAUCCGCGAAUGCAGGUUCGAAUCCUGCCGCCGGAA